CUGGGGGUGAACGUUAGCCAGACCACUAAGAUACCAGUCAAGUUCGACGCCUACCCAGAACCUACAGUCAGAUGGUACAAGAAUGGCCAGCCUAUCAGUAAGGAUGACUAUCGAUUUAAACCUGCCAGGGACUCUCACAAUGCUUGAAAUUACUGAGAACGAUGCCUGGAAUUACACCGUGGUCUUGACCGAUAAGAAAAGAAGAGAAGAGUCGCUCUGUCCAGGUCUUGGUCAAUGGGGGUUGCCAUGGACGUCCACAUGUAUGGCAGCAGCCCCACCCUCAGGUGCACCGCCCGUGAAAUCCCCACCC